CCGAAGUAAUACGACACAGUUUUAGUUAUAUAUACAUGAUACUAUAAAUAGCCUUAUUAAAGAAAAUACCCUAAUUUCCUAAACUUUCACCCCAGCCGCCUUCUCUCCUCACCUCACCUCACCUUCUCUCUUUUCUUCUCCCAAUUCCCUGCUCUUAGCCAUGUUAGCCCUUCUCAUGUCUUUCAGUAGUUCUUAAUAUCAUCUUCUUCAUUUUUUUAGUGAAUUCUCGGUUUUGCUCGCAAAAUUUUAACCAGCGAAGAAAUAAAUGAACUUUGUUAGAGAUCGGAUCAUGAUGGUUGGAGAUCAGCUGAUGGAUGUGUCGCCGGCGGUGAUGAGGGUUGCUGCUUCGUCGUCAGUCCAGUCCCGAAUUUCGAAUCAGAAUAUUUAUUUUAUGUCUUUUGAAUCUGUAAUCUUAGAUCUAAAGAAUACAAUUAAACUUUUUUUUUAUUUAUUAUAUUUAAAAAUUAAUUUUUUUUCUAA